rnacentral:rRNA from 1 species
GAUGAACGCUGGCGGCGUGCCUAAUACAUGCGAGUCGAGCGAACAGACGAGGAGCUUGCUCCUCUGACGUUAGCGGCGGACGGGUGAGUAACACGUGGAUAACCUACCUAUAAGACUGGGAUAACUUCGGGAAACCGGAGCUAAUACCGGAUAAUAUAUUGAACCGCAUGGUUCAAUAGUGAGAGACGGUUUUGCUGUCACUUAUAGAUGGAUCCGCGCCGCAUUAGCCAGUUGGUAAGGUAACGGCUUACCAAGGCAACGAUGCGUAGCCGACCUGAGAGGGUGAUCGGCCACACUGGAACUGAGACACGGUCCAGACUCCUACGGGAGGCAGCAGUAGGGAAUCUUCCGCAAUGGGCGAAAGCCUGACGGAGCAACGCCGCGUGAGUGAUGAAGGUCUUCGGAUCGUAAAACUCUGUUAUUAGGGAAGAACAAAUGUGUAAGUAACUAUGCACGUCUUGACGGUACCUAAUCAGAAAGCCACGGCUAACUACGUG